UACGUAGGGUGCAAGCGUUGUUCGGAAUCAUUGGGCGUAAAGCGUGUGUAGGUGGCUUAUUAAGUUGAUUGUGAAAUCCCUGGGCUCAACCGAGGAAGUGCAGUCAAAACUAGUAGGCUAGGAGAUGGCAGAGGAAGGUGGAAUUCCAAGUGUAGAGGUGAAAUUCGUAGAUAUUUGGAGGAAUACCGGCGGCGAAGGCGGCCUUCUGGACCAUUCUUGACACUGAGACACGAAAGCGUGGGUAGCAAACGGG
rnacentral:rRNA from 1 species